rnacentral:lncRNA from 1 species
ACUCAAGAUGGCGAAACCUCGGCCGCCGCGGCUAUAUUCGCCGCGGCGUCACUGCCUUCCUGGCCUGGUGGUGAGAGGAAGUCGGGCCGCGAAAGCUUCCUGAGGAGAAAAUGGAGGGCCCUUCUCUCACACCGACGAGAAAAGUUCGAGGGGGAAAUACGAGUUCCUUUCUGAAGGGACAGGACGGCUGCUUUUCCACAGCCGCGACGUGAUUGAGAAAUGGUGGCUGGCAAGGGUAGGCCUGCCUUCGCCCCUCCAAAGUAAAAAUCGGGAGUUGAGACCAGAGGAACAUCUCUUUAUUACAUGACUAAGGAUAUGUUUUGAAAACUGGCCCCCGGGCAGCUGCUCGGGGACAGGAAGCUGACCUGACUUCUCCAGCUGGCCGGGGAGGCCGCACCAGGCAGGAGGGAGGACUCCAGAGAGUGCGCGGGGGGCGCUGCGCGGUGGGACGGGGCGAGCCUGUAGGGCGCGCCUGGCGGCGGCUCUGGGCCAAUCAGAGAAAGCCAAAUGUGCUCCUCACACCAAUCGCGUAAGAAGCCCUGCUUCUAGUAUAGCCCUCCUCCAACUUCCCGAUGCCAACAUCCUCCAAUCAGAGCCAACCUGAAGUUUCUCCCUUUUUUCAGUAUAUGUAAAGCUUUUCCACUCCCCUGCCUGCCUAUGAGUCUGUUAAAUCAAGUGAUGGGUCGCGGCUGACUCUUGCCAGCUCUGAGUAAAUAGCCUAUUCUCAUUUGGUGGUCGUUAUUUCUACACAGCCGGUGGGAAGGUGGUGGAGAAUAGUGAAGACUAUUCUUAAGGUUAAAAAGAAGGUUCGGCUUACAUUUUUUUUUUAUUUUAAAUUUACAGCAUGGCGUCUCCAGCCCAGGUUUUAAAAUACCUUCUAAUGUAAGGAAAUAGCCCUGCACCUUGUGCCCAUCCUAGAGAGAAAAUGGUUUCUUAAUAAAAAAUGUAUGAGGCCUUUUUUGCCCCAAUAUCUUCCCAAGCAGAGGAAUGUGAAGGGGGGUUGGGCCAAGAAGUGAGUGGUAGGAAGAGAGGCCUACGGAUUUAAAACAGGCCACUGCUUGGAGGGGUGUCUUUCCUAAACCACUGAAGAAAUUGAACCAGGCAAAGGAAGGGGGUUCACACCCACAAAUAAACUAUAACCUACAAAAGGAGCCCGGGUUCACAUCCACAAAUAAAUUGUAACCUACACAAGGAGUCUGGUUGAGGUCACAAAACAAAAGCCAGGAGGCAACCAAAAGUAGAAUAUGAAAUAGGUGCUGCCUUCUCACCUAGGAAUCCUUCCAGGGCUAAAACCUUCAAAUAUUCUGCUUUUAAGGUAGUCAGAUACCCUCACAACUCAUUUACAUCAGCCCUUCUCUGUUUUCAAGUGAGAAGCAUAGAUGGUUUAGAAUUAAGCUAUGAACUCUUGGAUCUUUUCUUCCAAGUUUAGUGUUAGUGGUAGAUAGGUCUAGUCCAACUAUCUCAAUACAUUGUUUUCUCCCUAGUUAAAACAGAUUUGCAAGAAUCAUUUGUAUGACACUUUAGGAAUACAGAUAAAUUGCUAGUGCAAAUAAUAUCCUUAUAUUUAUAAAAUAUAUGUGUACUUUUAAAAAAGUUAUAUGAAUCCAAUCCUCUGGCCUUUUAGUUAGUAUUGAGUGUGAUAGUUGUGGGAGAUCUGUAGUAAAUACGGUUUCUGAAGGGUGUGCUAUCAUCCCUAAUGAACUCACCUAUUAAUUGUGGUAAAGAGUUUUUCACUUGGGCUGGGCACGGUGGCUCACGCCUGUAAUCCCAGCACUUUGGGAGGCCGAGGCAGGUGGGUCGACUGAGGUCAGGAGUUCCAGACCAGCCUAGCCAACAUGGUGAAACCCCGUCUGUACUAAAAAAAAAAAAAAGAAAAAAAAUAGCUGGGCAUGGUGGCAGGUGCCUGUAAUCCCAGCUACUUGGGAGGCUGAGGCAGGAGAAUCCCUUGAACCUGGGGAGGCGGAGGUUGCAGUGAGCCAAGAUCGUGCCAUUGCACUCCAGCCUGGGCAACAAGAGCAAAACUCCGUCUCAAAAAAAAAAAAAAAAAGAAAAAGAAAAAGAAAUGAAAAAAAAAGUUUCCCAACAUGUAUUAGCCGUUUUCAUGUUGUCUGUAUUCACCUUUGCGUCAUCACCCCUCUUCAAUUUCCUCCUGGAAUUCAAUCACAGUAAUGGGUUAUCUCAGCAUAUAUUAUUCGCCAGUCUCACAUCCUGACCUCAUUUAUUUACCUAAAAAUAACCAGAACGAAAAAAAAAUCACAGAUUAAUUUACACUUGAUUUCACUUUAACUUCAAUUUAAAAUACUUAGAAUCCAGAAUUCCUAGUAAGUUGAACCUGGAAUACGCAGACCUGUGAUAAUAUCUUAAACACUCAAAUGUUUUCAACUUGCUGAAAUGGAGUUCACACUUUUAACAUUCUGGGCUUUUUUUUUAAAAGGGACUAUAAUACUUUAAC